UACGUAGGGGGCAAGCGUUGUCCGGAAUCAUUGGGCGUAAAGAGCGUGUAGGCGGCCCGAUAAGUCCGCUGUGAAAGUCCAGGGCUCAACCCUGGGAUGCCGGUGGAUACUGUCGGGCUCGAGUCCGGAAGAGGAGUGUGGAAUUCCUGGUGUAGCGGUGAAAUGCGCAGAUAUCAGGAGGAACACCGGUGGCGAAGGCGGUUCUCUGGGCCUUACCUGACGCUGAGGAGCGAAAGCGUGGGGAGCAAACAGG
rnacentral:rRNA from 1 species